rnacentral:rRNA from 1 species
GUGGGGAAUAUUGGACAAUGGGCGAAAGCCUGAUCCAGCCAUGCCGCGUGUGUGAAGAAGGUCUUCGGAUUGUAAAGCACUUUAAGUUGGGAGGAAGGGCAGUAAGUUAAUACCUUGCUGUUUUGACGUUACCGACAGAAUAAGCACCGGCUAACUUCGUGCCAGCAGCCGCGGUAAUACGAAGGGUGCAAGCGUUAAUCGGAAUUACUGGGCGUAAAGCGCGCGUAGGUGGUUUUGUAAGUUGGAGGUGAAAUCCCCGGGCUCAACCUGGGAACUGCCUCCAAAACUGCAUGACUAGAGUACGGUAGAGGGUAGUGGAAUUUCCUGUGUAGCGGUGAAAUGCGUAGAUAUAUGAAGGAACACCAGUGGCGAAGGCGACCACCUGGACUGAUACUGACACUGAGGUGCGAAAGCGUGGGGAGCAAACAGGAUUAGAUACCCCAGUAGUCC